AACGAACGCUGGCGGCAUGCCUAACACAUGCAAGUCGAACGAGACCUUCGGGUCGAGUGGCGCACGGGUGCGUAACGCGUGGGAACCUGCCCUUAGGUUCGGAAUAACUCCCCGAAAGGGGUGCUAAUACCGGAUAAUGUCUUCGGACCAAAGAUUUAUCGCCUUUGGAUGGGCCCGCGUUGGAUUAGCUAGUUGGUAGGGUAAAAGCCUACCAAGGCGACGAUCCAUAGCUGGUCUGAGAGGAUGAUCAGCCACACUGGGACUGAGACACGGCCCAGACUCCUACAGGAGGCAGCAGUGGGGAAUAUUGGACGAUGGGCGAAAGCCUGAUCCAGCAAUGCCGCGUGAGUGAUGAAGGCCUUAGGGUUGUAAAGCUCUUUUACCCGGGAUGAUAAUGACAGUACCGGGAGAAUAAGCUCCGGCUAACUCCGUG
rnacentral:rRNA from 1 species